UACGUAGGGUGCGAGCGUUGUCCGGAAUUAUUGGGCGUAAAGAGCUUGUAGGUGGCUCGUUGCGUCGGGAGUGAAAACCUGCGGCUUAACCGCAGGCCUGCUUCCGAUACGGGCGAGCUAGAGUUCGGCAGGGGAGACUGGAAUUCCUGGUGUAGCGGUGGAAUGCGCAGAUAUCAGGAGGAACACCGGUGGCGAAGGCGGGUCUCUGGGCCGACACGUGACACUGAGAGACGAAAGCUAGGGGAGCGAAUGGG
rnacentral:rRNA from 1 species